rnacentral:rRNA from 1 species
UACGUAGGGACCAAGCGUUGUCCGGAAUCAUUGGGCGUAAAGAGCGUGUAGGCGGCUAGUUAAGUCUUGCGUGAAAUCUCGGGGCUCAACCUCGAGACGCCGAUUGAAACCACCAGGCUAGAGUCCGGAAGAGGAGAGUGGAAUUCCCGGUGUAGCGGUGAAAUUCGUAGAUAUUGGGAAGAACACCGGUGGCGAAGGCGGCGACCUGGUCCUUGACUGACGCUGAGGCGCGAAAGCGUGGGGAGCAAACAGG